ensembl:lncRNA
AUAUGUUUCACUUUUGAGGUCACAUUUUUAUAAGCAUUUUUGGUUUGUUCCAGAAUUUUCAGGAACCUGUUCAGUGUUCCAGGUUAAGUGCAUCCCCAGAUCAUGUUCUGCUGAUCUUGAGUGUUCACACAUACAGUACACUCACAUGCUUUUUUUUUAUAAACUAUAUCAGCAUGAUGCUUCAACAUUUUAUUCUAUUUCUCAUCUUCACAUUCUGAUCAAGUCAGUGAUGCUGUCUUUAGAUGAGUUUCUGACAUAAAUAGGGUCUUCAAAUGUUCUAGUUUAACAUAAAACACCAUUAAAUAUUAGUUUAUAAAAUAUGCCAACCUGAAAUUAAAGCUGAAAAUGCUUAAUUUUGACCAACUGUGAGCAUGUGACUGUACUUUUUCAUUUUGUUAUGCUGUUUUGUUGAGGUCGUGUUCCUAAGGCCUGUAGUUACAGUUGGUGCUAUUAGCAAUAAACAUUUCACACCCAUCAUGAUGAUGUCUGUUAACUUGUGAAUGUAACUGUCUUGAAAAAAAGGAAUCUUGCAGUGAAGCUCAUUCCCGGGCAGUGGUCAGAAAAAAAGAGCUUUGACUUGAAGGGUUUUCCAAGCCAAGACUAUGGAGUUGACUGUGGGGUCUUCAUGCUGAUGUCUGCUCUGUACGUGGCACUGGAUGCACCAUUUGACAAUACUAUAUCAGACAUGCCCUACUUGCGUAAAUGGUGGUCCUUGCUGUUGAUGGAGAACUUUGAUCUCAGAAGCUCUGGCAAGCUAUUUGCACACUGGAGAGAGGAAGCCAAAGCUGUGCUUGAAGGACAACACGUGCCCAUUUUCAGACUGAAAAAGCGCAAGUUCCAGGAAGUCAGUCAGGAGCCAGCAGUUGUUGAAGAUCUGCGUCCUGCUGUGCAGUGGGUUGUCCAAAAUAAGGCACUUUUCCGUGGACACGUAACAAUGCCAAAAUAUCUGUCCUUAAAUCAAGGGGACCAGCAGAGGGUCUUAAGAGACAUGUCAGAGGAAGAAGACACUGGAGCAAGGGACUUGUUCCUCUUUGUUUUUCAGUUUGCAGAGGACAUGGAGCUCUUUUUGAAAGCAUGUGCUGAUGAGCAGGGACUAAGGGUCAGUGCUAUGUUUGACAUGUAAUGGACAAAUAAAGGCACUGGCUGUUUGUUAUAUUUGUUUCUUUGUUUAAUAUGUCGUUGUUGUUGUUUUUUUUUGUUUUUGCAUAGUACAAAAUUCCAAAUAAACUUAUUUCAAAAUGUUGUUCACUUGAUUCUAUGUCCAUACUUUUAAUAAAGGAUUACAGUGUAACAGCAUUAAAUGUAAAUGUAACAGCAUAAGCACUCUGGGCUCUAUCCUGGCCAUUUGUGGCCACUUCACUUAUUCUUUUUUUUGACUGCUGCACUGCAGUGGACCAAAAGAAU